rnacentral:miRNA from 1 species
UGGCACUCGCUCGGGGUCUGGAGCA